CACUGCGGCUUUUAAAUCCGAAGUCAUCUGACCCACUUAAAGCGAGCCACGCAGACUUAGAGGCGGCCGGUUCCCAGCCAAAACGGUCGGCUUCACGUGGAUCCUGAGCCGAAGGACUGCCGGAUCUCGAUUAAUUGCCCAGUAGGGCCGAGGUGGGUUCACAUUGCUCCUGCGCAUCCAAACACUACGGAAUGUGGGUCAAGGAUCAAGAGGCACGCGGAGGCCCGGGCAGUGGGGGGGGCAAGACGACACAUUUACACCAGUUGUUGCGUACGCUGUGAUAGGAAGCAAACAGCCGGCGAGCUCAGGCGUCGACGAGCAGACACUGGAAGCUCGCCAGACGUUCCGAAGUUGACUUUGCGGUCACGUGGCUGCGGUCCGGUCCAUUUCUUGUCCUUGAUUGGACGGCGAGACUUCUCUGACAACACGCCCCGCUAACAGCACUUCGCUGGGUUUUAUUUGACCGCUCGGGUUCACGAAAACAAUAUUACGAUACAGCAACUAAGUCAUAAUGGACACUGUGUAUCGGCUCUGGGAUACCGUAAGAUAUCUUAACCGAGGAAGCUGCUAAUAAAAUGUAGAUAUUGCUCCUUUGCACUCAGGAUGUAUGUCAAAUGUUUGAGUGUAUGUACAGUGUAUACACUGUAUGUACGAUUGCUGCACUCGGAACAAAGGUCUCAUGAAAUGUACAUGUUCCACGAUUUCCGGUUUUGACAGUAAUUCCCAUUGAAACGUAAAGUAAAAAAAAAAAGAUAUAUAUAGUCAGGCUUUACAGAAAGGCUUUAAGUAAAAAUAAAAAGUACAAAAAAAUACCACGUAUCAUGGCGUUGGCAGCCGUGGCCCAAUGGUUAAGGUCAUUACCUGCCACCGUCGGGGACCGAGGUUCAAGACCCCGACUGGACCAUCCGGCAACGUCCCCCGUACUCAUGGCUGUGGCGUCCUUGAGCAAAGAAAUUUCCUGUACAUGCGUACAUGCAUGUUCAUGACAGUAAAAGGUGAUUGUUGUUCUUUGAAAACCUUUCUCAAGCUUUUUUAAAAUGUAUUAUUUGUGGCCACAAGGUGGCGCCAGCUGGCCGGCGCGCGCCGACAUAGUGACUCCCGAGUUGCGUGUUGGUGGGAAAAUGGAGAACUUGUCGAUCGAUUUAGAAUUCCGGUCGCGGCGCACGAGGACGCCGACCGACCUCCUUAAUGUUGGUUGUCAAGGGUGGAAAGGUUUAUUUAAAUUUUUUUGGCUCAAUGUUGUGGAGCGUGCGACUAAAUGUGGCGCCCGGUCUCGGGUUGUCUUCCGUUUGCGACCAUUGCGUCGUGAGGUGCGGCGCUAAUUGGAGACAGGUGUGCGCCAGGGAGCUAUGACGCGUACGCGGGUGCGCUAAUUGCCACCAGCAUAAAAUGGGGAGCGACUCAGCUGCGUUUUGUCGCGUGAGCAAGCAAAUGUUUGCUGUUUGGGCAUGUUUGUCCAGUGGCGAUGUGCUUGUUGUCGGCUUUUGACUGGCAGAGCAGCAGCAGCAGCAGCAGCAGCAGCAGCAGCAGCAGCCGCAGCAGCGUUCAAGGAAAGGUUUGCGCAUGGGUUUGCUUGAGCACAGCACGUUCACACUUCACUUUGGGUUGAGCAUGUUUUAUUUUUGAAAUGCUGGCCAGCUCCUUUUGUGUAGUUAAUUGUUGUGUAUAUAUGAAUAAAUAAGUUUUGUGAAUAACUGUUUAGUGGUUUUGAGUUUGGAUGGCACCAAAACCCAGGUAAGAGAACUUUGCGCGCACACACACACACCAAUAAAAGUAUGUCAAAUGCUGUGAAAUAAGCCCAAAGGUUAAUGUAUAAUUUUGUUUUCCAAUCCUUCAUUGUCCUCUUCCCGACUAGCAGGUGCGGCGCAUGAUUGGACGAGGGUCAUGAGUACAGACACGUGCGCACAGGUGAGACCCAUCAGACAAGUAAUUGUAUGUUUUUGCAGGUUUAGCGUUGAACCCGGGGUCAACUACAGCAGGCUUGUUUUUGUUGUUGGAGGAGGAGGAGACAUUGGGGACAGGAGGCAGCAAGGAGAACCAGAACACUAGUGGAAGAGGAGCUGGAUGAAAGAGAAGAGUUCACAAGGACCUGGGAUGAGGAAAAGGAACAAUUCCAUACAUGAAAUGAAGACUGGAUACAAGUUGUCUUUGCAUAUAUUGUCUGCGGGGUGCAUGUAAACUGUGAACAGGAGGGGGCGGAGUACUGAGCUUUGCGGUUUGCCUCGGUUGACUGGCUACGGAAGGGUAGCGUGGUGGUAGGUCCGAUUGUAAUGAGGGCAGGCAUGGAAAGUGUCGGUAGAGUUGACUGUUGGACGUGGUGGUUUGGUUCAGUGGUUGUUGGGAAGGAAGGAAGGUCGAGAUGGUCCGCAAGUUGUUUGGCUUGUCUCGGUCCAGAGCAGCUCUUGGUUUUGAGUUGACUUGUACAGUGCAGGAUUUGAAUGAGGAAUUGAUCGUAUCGAUCAACACAAAACUGAAUACUCGUAAUUUGUUCAGGGUGGAGACCAAUAAUUGUUCACAACCGGCACGCAGUUCCAAGAUGAACAGUUGUUCUCCCUUUAGGAAAGUGUGCAAGUAAUGUGCAUUAUUGAUGACAACACAUUUGAAGGUGUUUCUUUUCCUAAUUUUAUAUUUUUUUUUGUUUGGCAGCAAUCCAGACUGAAAGUGGAAAUGCUGUGCUGCUUCAAGAGCCAAUUGGCAACUAUACAGGGGGAGUAUAUCUUAGUUACUUUGUCUACUUCCUUACUAACUCACUGGGUGUGCAUGGACUAACACUCAUUUGUGAUUUAGUAUUUGUGUACUGAGAUGUAUGAUGAGAUUAUAAAUGUUGAACUGCUGUUUAAUCUGUACUUUUGUACUUUUGUGGUUUUAAUCACUUAAAGUGCAUUGAAUUUUGUAUGAAAUGUGUUAUAUAAAAACAUUUAGCUUUGAAUGAGCAAUUUAUCAUAUUGAUCAACACAAAACUGAAUACUUGUAUUUUUUCAGGAUGAAGACCAACAAUUGUACACA